UGGGGAAUUUUGGACAAUGGGGGAAACCCUGAUCCAGCCAUCCCGCGUGUGCGAUGAAGGCCUUCGGGUUGUAAAGCACUUUUGGCAGGAAAGAAACGUCAUGGGUUAAUACCCCGUGAAACUGACGGUACCUGCAGAAUAAGCACCGGCUAACUACGUGCCAGCAGCCGCGGUAAUACGUAGGGUGCAAGCGUUAAUCGGAAUUACUGGGCGUAAAGCGUGCGCAGGCGGUUCGGAAAGAAAGAUGUGAAAUCCCAGAGCUCAACUUUGGAACUGCAUUUUUAACUACCGGUCUAGAGUGUGUCAGAGGGAGGUGGAAUUCCGCGUGUAGCAGUGAAAUGCGUAGAUAUGCGGAGGAACACCGAUGGCGAAGGCAGCCUCCUGGGAUAACACUGACGCUCAUGCACGAAAGCGUGGGGAGCAAACAUG
rnacentral:rRNA from 1 species